CCUACGGGUGGCAGCAGUAGGGAAUAUUGCUCAAUGGGGGAAACCCUGAAGCAGCAACGCCGCGUGGAGGAUGAAGGUUUUCGGAUUGUAAACUCCUUUUGUUAGAGAAGAAAAUGACGGUAUCUAACGAAUAAGCACCGGCUAACUCCGUGCCAGCAGCCGCGGUAAUACGGAGGGUGCAAGCGUAACUCGGAAUCACUGGGCGUAAAGGGCGCGUAGGCGGGAUAGCAAGUCAGAUGUGAAAUCCUAUGGCUUAACCAUAGAACUGCAUUUGAAACUGUUAUUCUAGAGUAUGGGAGGGGUAGGUGGAAUUCUUGGUGUAGGGGUGAAAUCCGUAGAGAUCAAGAGGAAUACUCAUUGCGAAGGCGACCUGCUAGAACAUAACUGACGCUGAUGCGCGAAAGCGUGGGGAGCAAACAGGAUUAGAUACCCCAGUAGUC
rnacentral:rRNA from 1 species